GGGGGUGUACUGGUUUCGACGGGGAUCAUCGUGCGCCAGGUAAGCGAGCCGCGGCCCCUGCACCGCGCAACAACGGGGAAAAACAACAACUGACAACAGCGAUUUCGCUUUCGCGGCCUAAGGCCGCGCGUUGGACUUAGGCGCCCACUGCCUGAGACCCCGACGUCAAUCUAGUGGGGAACGAGCCCGUCCAAGCUUUGUGACGAAGCCUGUAUUGAUGAAGCUACCGAGACCGCAAGCCUGCCGUUAGGGCGUGCGGAGGGGGGAAACCCAAAACAACGGCUGCGCUCGGAGAAGGCUUGACGUUCGGAUUUUCGGACAGGGGUUCGAUUCCCCUCACCUCCACCA
rnacentral:tmRNA from 1 species